rnacentral:rRNA from 1 species
ACGGGGGGUGCAAGCGUUGUUCGGAAUUACUGGGCGUAAAGGGCGUGUAGGCGGCAGUAUAAGUCAGAUGUGAAAUCCCCGAGCUUAACCCAGGAAGAGCAUUUGAAACUAUUUAGCUUGAGUAGGGGAGAGGAAAGCGGAAUUCCUGGUGUAGAGGUGAAAUUCGUAGAUAUCAGGAGGAACACCGGUGGCGAAGGCGACUUUCUGGCCUUAUACUGACGCUGAGACGCGAGAGCGUGGGUAGCAAACAG